rnacentral:rRNA from 1 species
UACGUAGGAGGCGAGCGUUGUCCGGAUUUACUGGGCGUAAAGCGCGCGCAGGCGGCACUUCAAGUAAGGUGUGAAAUCUCCCUGCUCAACGGGGAGGGUGCACUUUAGACUGAGGAGCUAGAGUCCGGAAGAGGGAGAGUGGAAUUCCAGGUGUAGCGGUGAAAUGCGUAGAUAUCUGGAGGAAUACCGGUGGCGAAGGCGGCAUCCUGGACCGACAUUGACGCUGAGGAGCGAAAGCCAGGGAGGCAAACGGGG